rnacentral:rRNA from 1 species
UACAGAGGUGGCAAGCGUUGUUCGGAAUUACUGGGCGUAAAGGGCGCGUAGGCGGUUCGUUAAGUCCUGUGUGAAAUCCCCCGGCUCAACUGGGGAACUGCACAGGAAACUAGCGGGCUUGAGUUCGGGAGAGGGAAGCGGAAUUCCGGGUGUAGCGGUGAAAUGCGUAGAUAUCCGGAGGAACACCGGUGGCGAAGGCGGCUUCCUGGACCGACACUGACGCUGAGGCGCGAAAGCUAGGGGAGCA